rnacentral:rRNA from 1 species
UACGAAGGGGGCUAGCGUUGCUCGGAAUCACUGGGCGUAAAGCGCACGUAGGCGGUCUUUUAAGUCAGGGGUGAAAUCCUGGAGCUCAACUCCAGAACUGCCUUUGAUACUGGGAGACUUGAGUCCGGGAGAGGUGAGUGGAACUGCGAGUGUAGAGGUGAAAUUCGUAGAUAUUCGCAAGAACACCAGUGGCGAAGGCGGCUCACUGGCCCGGUACUGACGCUGAGGUGCGAAAGCGUGGGGAGCGAACAGG